GGCGCGGCCGGGCGGUCCGUCGCUUCGGCGGCGAGUACUGCCUUCGGGCCGCGCCUUUCCUCCCGGGGAGCCGUCGCGGGUCGUCUUCGGGCGGCCGGUGGCGGGGAGCCGGGACGUUUACCUUGAAAAAAUUAGAGUGUUCAAAGCAGGCGCACGCUUGCAUAGAUUAGCAUGGAAUAAUGGAAUAGGACCUGUGGUCUUGUUUUGUUGGUUUCUGGGACCGCGGUA
rnacentral:rRNA from 1 species